AUUGAACGCUAGCGGAAUGCUUUACACAUGCAAGUCGAGCGGCAGCACGGGGGCAACCCUGGUGGCGAGCGGCGAACGGGUGAGUAAUACAUCGGAACAUGCCCAGUCGUGGGGGAUAACACUUCGAAAGAAGUGCUAAUACCGCAUACGUCCUGAGGGAGAAAGCGGGGGAUCUUCGGACCUCGCGCGAUUGGAGUGGCCGAUGUCAGAUUAGCUAGUUGGUGGGGUAAAGGCCUACCAAGGCAACGAUCUGUAGCUGGUCUGAGAGGAUGAUCAGCCACACUGGGACUGAGACACGGCCCAGACUCCUACGGGAGGCAGCAGUGGGGAAUUUUGGACAAUGGGGGCAACCCUGAUCCAGCCAUUCCGCGUGCAGGAUGAAGGCCCUCGGGUUGUAAACUGCUUUUGUACAGAACGAAAAGGUUUCUACUAAUACUAGGAGCUCAUGACGGUACUGUAAGAAUAAGCACCGGCUAACUACGUGCCAGCAGCCGCUGUAAGAC
rnacentral:rRNA from 1 species